UUCGAGAAUGAUCCCUAGAAACACGCAUGGAACGCUUCGGCUCCUUUCCCUUUCGUCGUGACUCCUCCUUAUGCCCACUUCGUCCUUCGGACCGAUCAUGGCUAAAUGCUUCGUCCCGUAAUUCCUCCACCCGAAGCAUCUAUUCGGCUAUAUCUUCUCUUUGCUUUAACAGGACUUCCAUGGCUCUAUCUGCUUCGUCCGCCAUCUUUGCCAACUUGGCAGCUCUAUCCUCCUGGCUACUUCUAUGAUAAAUCUUGGUCGGUGAGCCUUCCACCUGUCUUCGACCAUGAUCUCGCUCCUCAUCCGCACCGAAAACCAAUCUUCGUCUGGCCCCGCCAGGAAUCU
rnacentral:lncRNA from 1 species